GUGGCGGGUGUCCAGUGAUUCAGCCACAUGUGAUAGAUGACCAAGUGACUGCUUCCUUGGGGUCCGCACAUCAGUGGAAGACACCCACACUGGUUGUGGCUGACUUGAUCAAACUCUGGCUCCCUGAACUGGAAUGAAAUGCAGUUAACGCUUUAGAAAACUUUCGCAGGAAAAAGCGCCUCGUGUGAUCUGGAACAAAGACAUUUUAUAAUCAGAUUUAUCAAGCUGUGAAGAGGGAGUUUUAGCGAAUGGAAUCAGCAGCAUUCUGUCACCAGGAAAUACUGCUUUAUCCAGAAUUGGGAUCUGAGUGAAGAAUAUAGGAGAAAGUGACCUCUGAGCUCUUUGAGAUUCUACAAAAUAUAUGAUUUCUCAUCAACCCUGGAAACAGCUCUCCUGGUCCAAGAUGAGCCGUCGGUGUCAUAUGCUGUGAGAAGGCUCCUGGAAACUCCCUUCUCCAAAGCUACAAGAUGUGUGUGGAGAGAAUGGAGAACCAGUUCCCUAAAUCUUAAUCCAGUCCCCCCGGACCUGGCAUGGUCUUAUUACUCUAUUCCGGAGUCAGAUAUCCCACACUGUGAUCACUGAGACAAGAUUUGGAAUCGCACAUAAUUGAAAUUCAAUAGGACAAAAGAAGAAAGUGCUAUUUAAAAUGAGAGACCUUUUAAAGAGUGAAAGAUGCCAGCUGAAAUGGAGUGUCUGUGACAAAAAUCUUCAGUCAAUACGUUUUUCAAAUUCUUUCAGUUGUUGACUCUCAAAUAUUUAUGCUAAUGACAACCAGGAAAAGCACAGAUUUUGGAAACGUACCAAACCCAAGACUACUUCUAGCCAACUAAUUCUUUUCACCAAACUUUCUGCAAGAACAUCUAAUAAGAAGAGGCUCGGAUACCACUGACCCCCUGCAAUUCUCCCUUGAGGAGUCAAGCGUGGUUUUUUUCUCAGGUUCAGACCACUAGUGGGAGGUCCCAAGUAUGGUGAUCUGAGGGUAGAGGAGAAAGGGAGGAAGAUGAAGAUGGGAAGAAAAAAAAAAAA